GACGAACGCUGGCGGCGUGCUUAACACAUGCAAGUCGAACGGAGAGGCCCUGCUUUUGUGGGGUGCUCGAGUGGCGAACGGGUGAGUAACACGUGAGUAACCUGCCCUUGACUUUGGGAUAACUUCAGGAAACUGGGGCUAAUACCGGAUAGGAGCUCCUGCUGCAUGGUGGGGGUUGGAAAGUUUCGGCGGUUGGGGAUGAACUCGCGGCUUAUCAGCUUGUUGGUGGGGUAGUGGCUUACCAAGGCUUUGACGGGUAGCCGGCCUGAGAGGGUGACCGGCCACAUUGGGACUGAGAUACGGCCCAGACUCGUACAGGAGGCAGCAGUGGGGAAUAUUGCACAAUGGGCGGAAGCCUGAUGCAGCAACGCCGCGUGCGGGAUGACGGCCUUCGGGUUGUAAACCGCUUUCGCCUGUGACGAAGCGUGAGUGACGGUAAUGGGUAAAGAAGCACCGGCUAACUACGUG
rnacentral:rRNA from 1 species